rnacentral:rRNA from 1 species
CCUACGGGAGGCAGCAGUGAGGAAUAUUGGUCAAUGGCCGGAAAGCUGAACCAGCCAUGCCGCGUGAAGGUCAGUGCCCUAUGGGCGUUAAACUUCUUUUGUGCGGGAGCAAUAAUGGUCACGUGUGGCCAGACGAGAGUACCGUACGAAUAAGCAUCGGCUAACUCCGGGCCAGCAGCCGCGGUAAUACGGGGGAUGCAAGCGUUAUCCGGAUUUAGUGGGUUUAAAGGGUGCGUAGGCUGUGAGGUAAGUCAGCGGUGAAAGUCUUUGGCUCAACCAUAGAAUUGCCGUUGAAACUGGGAGUCUUGAGUAUGUUUGAGGCAGGCGGAAUGCGUGGUGUAGCGGUGAAAUGCUUAGAUAUCACGCAGAACCCCGAUUGCGAAGGCAGCCUGCCAAGCCAUGACUGACGCUGAUGCACGAAAGCGUGGGGAUCAAACAGGAUUAGAUACCCGAGUAGUC